AGGUGCAGGCAGUAUGAUCCAGCAUGUGGUUCAAGCUAGAAUGCUUCUGCCAUUUACCCAACUGCAAGCCUCAUGAAUCACUCAUGUAAACCCAACAUCAUAAACAGUUUCUACAAGGAUAAGCUGGUUAUUCGCACAAUUGAAGACGUUGAGAAUGGCAGCCAGAUAACCAACUGCUAUGGUCCACAUUACUGUCGACAAACGCGCGAAGAGAGACAGCAGGCCUUGAAACAGCAGGACUAC